UGGGGAAUAUUGCACAAUGGGCGCAAGCCUGAUGCAGCCAUGCCGCGUGUGUGAAGAAGGCAUUCGGGUUGUAAAGCACUUUCAGCGGGGAGGAAGGCGGUGAGGUUAAUAACCUCACCGAUUGACGCUACCCGCAGAAGAAGCACCGGCUAACUCCGUGCCAGCAGCCGCGGUAAUACGGAGGGUGCAAGCGUUAAUCGGAAUUACUGGGCGUAAAGCGCACGCAGGCGGUCUGUCAAGUCGGAUGUGAAAUCCCCGGGCUCAACCUAGGAACUGCAUUCGAAACUGGCAGGCUAGAGUCUUGUAGAGGGGGGUAGAAUUCCCGGUGUAGCGGUGAAAUGCGUAGAGAUCUGGAGGAAUACCGGUGGCGAAGGCGGCCCCCUGGACAAAGACUGACGCUCAGGUGCGAAAGCGUGGGGAGCAAACAGG
rnacentral:rRNA from 1 species